GACGAACGCUGGCGGCAUGCCUAACACAUGCAAGUCGAGCGAGGUGAGUUCUUCGGAACGAUCUAGCGGCGGACGGGUGAGUAACACGUGGGCAACCUGCCUCAUAGAGGGGAAUAGCCUCCCGAAAGGGAGAUUAAUACCGCAUAAAAUUAUCGAGUGGCAUCACAUGAUAAUCAAAGGAGUAAUCCGCUAUGAGAUGGGCCCGCGGCGCAUUAGCUAGUUGGUGAGGUAACGGCUCACCAAGGCGACGAUGCGUAGCCGACCUGAGAGGGUGAUCGGCCACAUUGGGACUGAGACACGGCCCAGACUCCUACGGGAGGCAGCAGUGGGGAAUAUUGCACAAUGGGGGAAACCCUGAUGCAGCAACGCCGCGUGAGUGAUGAAGGUCUUCGGAUUGUAAAGCUCUGUCUUUGGGGACGAUAAUGACGGUACCCAAGGAGGAAGCCACGGCUAACUACGUGCCAGCCGCCGCGGUAA
rnacentral:rRNA from 1 species